GAUGAACGCUGGCGGCGUGCCUAAUACAUGCAAGUCGAGCGAACAGAUGAGGAGCUUGCUCCUCUGACGUUAGCGGCGGACGGGUGAGUAACACGUGGAUAACCUACCUAUAAGACUGGGAUAACUUCGGGAAACCGGAGCUAAUACCGGAUAAUAUAUUGAACCGCAUGGUUCAAUAGUGAAAGACGGUUUUGCUGUCACUUAUAGAUGGAUCCGCGCCGCAUUAGCUAGUUGGUAAGGUAACGGCUUACCAAGGCAACGAUGCGUAGCCGACCUGAGAGGGUGAUCGGCCACACUGGAACUGAGACACGGUCCAGCCUCCUACGGGAGGCAGCAGUAGGGAAUCUUCCGCAAUGGGCGAAAGCCUGACGGAGCAACGCCGCGUGAGUGAUGAAGGUCUUCGGAUCGUAAAACGCUGUUAUUAGGGAAGAACAAAUGUGUAAGUAACUAUGCACGUCUUGACGGUACCUAAUCAGAAAGCCACGGCUAACUACGU
rnacentral:rRNA from 1 species